UGCUAAAGCUAAUGUAGCGUAGCUGAUUCUGCAUUGUGUCUUGUAGAAGAGUGACCACAGCCAGACCACAGCUGAUUGGAAAUCACUUUUAAUGAUCCUGCAUUCAAAUGGCAGAAAAUAGUAAUCAAGAACAGGCUUUUCUUUUCACAGUGUUCCACAGCGCCUUCUCCCACGGAAUCCGAACAGAAAGAGCCGCCUGUUUAAUCAUGAACAAUACUAUUUUCAGCACAUAGAUGAAGCAAUGUUUCAUGUACCAGAAGAGCAGCUAGAUAACUGCUAACUGCAGGUUAAGUGCUUCAACACCCAUUGUUUUACAAAAACAGUAAUAAAACUAACACUGAUUACACUUAAAAUACACUUAUUAAACACAGAAAGCAAAACUUCAUACCUUCUCCCACGAAAUCCGAACAGAAAGAGCGCGACGGAGAGCGUGGGAAAACCUUUCACAGAUUAUAAUGGUAUGACCCGAUAACUUUUCUUUUUAAAUUUCGAACUGAUUCUUUAAACAACAAUCUAUGAACUCAAUAUGUUAAACAUUAAAGGUAAUAAUUCACAGUUUUAUUCACAACAUAUUAAAUUUGAAUAAAGAUAAUAAUUUUGGGACAGGAAGUUACCCACUGUUUUGAAAUGGAUUGGUCGUCUUUUCAAAAUAAAAGCUGUCGGUGCUCAUAUAAUUUCCUACCGGAAUAGCUUCUCACUUUACAAUCUAGUGUAA